rnacentral:rRNA from 1 species
AACGAACGCUGGCGGCGUGCCUAACACAUGCAAGUCGUGCGAGAAAGUUUCUUCGGGAGCGAGUAAAGCGGCGCACGGGUGAGUAACACGUAGGUAACCUGCCCCCCAGUCUGGAACAACUAGAGGAAACUCUAGCUAAUGCCGGAUGAGACCACGAUCCCUUCGGGGGUUGCGGCCAAAGAUGGCCUCUACUUGUAAGCUAUCGCUGAGGGAUGGGCCUGCGGGCCAUUAGCUUGUUGGUGAGGUAACGGCUCACCAAGGCUGUGAUGGCUAGCUGGUCUGAGAGGAUGACCAGCCACACUGGGACUGAGACACGGCCCAGACUCCUACGGGAGCAGCAGUGGGGAAUAUUGCGCAAUGGGCGAAAGCCUGACGCAGCGACGCCGCGUGGGUGA